UCCAUUGUGACCCGGCUUGUCAUCCUGCCUCCUGUGAAAAUAGAGCAAAUCGUAUCAGCUCUGUUGGUCUCAGGGCAGUCCCAAGGACACGGGGCUGUGACUUACUGGUGAUACACCGCCAGCACCCUCCUCAUUUCUGGGCGUCAUGGCUCCCUCCUCUCUGUAUCUGAGCGAGGGUGUGCGGAAGGCCUGGCACACCUGGCUGGAGGUGGAGGUGGGGGCGGCCCCGAGAGAACUGAAGCUCAGGCUGUCCUCAGGCAGCUGGUGGCUUAGCUGGGAAACAAGACUCCCGCCUGUGGAAGCCUAAGGAGAAACCAGCCCCCAGUUCAGAAGCCCAGCAGUUGGUGAAGGCUGCCCUCGGUAAGGGAGACCUGGUAGGAGUUCAUUCGUCAACAAGACUGGCGUGGCUUGGGGGGCUGCAUACUGUACGCUGGGAGAGGUAUGACGCUGAGGAGGCAUGGAGGUCCCAGAAAGGCGGAGGACCCCAAGGGGAGAGGAUCCGAGAGGUUCCUUCCAGAAGGAUGGCUUUGUGGCUCUCCACACCCAGGGGCAGGCUUGUGGUAUCUCAGGGAAGGAGAUACUGGUUUCACCCUGGGAACCAUCCAAGCACCCAGGUCCCUGGUACCAGCUCUCAGCUCUUUGAUAGCAGUCUUGGGGCCUCCCUGGGUCCUGUCUCUGAGGAGCAGAAGAGGAGUUGAGCUCCCCCCACUUGCUUCCACCUCUCAGCCACCCUGGACUUCAGACUUGCAGGCCCCAGAGCACAGUUUAUCUCCCCAUCUGCAAGAGCGAUUUUCCAUUUGCUCCACAAUGGGAAAUAAGAAUCCAUCAUGUGCCAUUGUGUCAGGAAGGUGGUGUCUACUUUAAUAAAUUUGCUUUUAAAUGCUGGCUGUCUCUGGAGAUCGUUUCGCUCAUGCCUGCAGACAAAGUGAUUAAAGUUGCAGAGUAUACAUGGUUCCUGCAAAGACCCAGAA
rnacentral:lncRNA from 1 species